rnacentral:lncRNA from 1 species
UGAGGCUGAGGUUGAGCAGUAAGCAUUUUAGUUGGUCAACAUUUUAUUAACAACACAUGUCUUAAUAAUAAGUGUGAAUCACAAGUAUUCCCAUUAAGCAAAUGUAUAAGAGUAUAUCAAAAACACUUAAGUGAAACCACUUAAGCAAAACCAUUGGUAGAUCAUCGGAUCUCGAUUUAUUUCCAUCUUCAAGUUCAAUUAUCAUGUGAGGAGUCCAGGCUGCUCAUAACCGUGAGCACGGCUGAUAUAUCAGUUUUACACUCUGCAGAGGUGGUACAACUUUACCCACAAGUCGUGUAUCCCCUCUAGCCUGGGUCGGCCAAAACCCGUAAACACUUCCGAGGUGAGUGGCUAGGGAUCCACUAUGAGGCUUUCACAAAAUACACUUAAAACGAAGCAACCCGCUAAGGUUUCUAAAGACGAUGGUGGUGGCCCCCUGGGUGAGGUACCUUAGCCAAGAAUACGUCCCCAUGUUAACGUGGGCUGCCAACACCUACCGCUCCCCCUCUUGCCCAUAUUUCAGGUAAGGUUGCCAGGCACUAAGCAUAUAAAGCUAAUUACCAAAGCCAGAGCCAUGAUAGCACUCGUGGUUGCACUGUUUUUCCCAGGUGGUCACUCCAUGUUCCAAUUAAUAUGCAAUAAUCUUGUUUAACCAUCGGGUUAACAACAAUAAUGUAAACUUACCAUUUUGGAACAUUAAUAUCAUAAGCGGGAGUGAUUGCAUAAAGUUAAGUUGUAGCAAUAGCAUAGCUACGAAGGUAAAGUAUAAUUCCCAGGUUUGAUCAAGGAAUAAGGUUGGAAAGGUUAUCUAAAUAGGUAACCCGUCAAAUUAUGCAUAUAUAUCCAAAAGAAUAAACUUUAUUAAAUGUAUUGUUUGGGAUCAAACAGAGUAUGCAGAGGGAGAAAUCCACUUGCCUUGCUUAUUGAAAACUUGAGGUUCUUCCACGGAUCGGAAUAGAUCUUGAUUCUUAACUACUAGAUCAACCACUGAAUAUCACACAAACAAACAAGAAGAACAAACACCACUCAAUAAUAUACAACAUUCACCAUACGUGAAGCUAAAAGAAAGCCUAAUAAAAGAACGUUCGCUUUUCAAAAACAUUACACGCAAAGGUUAUAAUAAAAAGGUAUUCCUUUCAAAAAUGUGUGAUCUAUACGUUAUAAAACAAGACAUGAGCUUAAAAGUAUAUUAAUUAAAAUCUACAAAUAUUAAGUUCACCAAUUUAAUCUUUUAUAAAUCGUCAUAUGUGAUAUGUCUAAGAUUAAGGGUUUAUAAGAUGUUAAAACAUGUUAUAACAAUAUUAAACCUUUUUAACCUUUUAGAAAAGAUAUAAGUUAUAAAUCUAAGGUUAAUGCGUUAUGAAAUACCUUAUUAAUUUUAGAAGCAUUAUGGAACUCAUUAUAAUUCAUUGUUAAACGUUUAGUUAUGAUAAACUAAGAUAUAAGUCUAAAUAGUUUUUAUGUGAAAAGAUCAUUAUUAUUAAACACCUAUUUUAUGAAAAACUAGGUUAUAGGCCUUUAAGUGGAUUUUCACGUAAAAGAUAAUAAACAAAUAACUAUCUUUUAAUUUCAUUAGAAAACACAUAGCCUAUAUUAGUAUAUUCGAAGUCAAUGUAUAAGUAAUAUUUUAAGUUAUAAAAGAACUUAAACUCUUAUUACUUUAUUUUAUUCCUUUAGGAAAAUCUAAGUGAUUCUUAUAUAAUGUGAACUAAAUUCUAUGAAAUCAUUAAUCAUGCCAUAAAUCUAGUUAAGAACAAAUUGACUGUAGGUUUAAUUAAUAAGUUAUGAUAAAUGAUAAUUAAUCUAUUAAUUAUCUUUAAUUCUAUUGUAGGAACAAAUGAUCUAAAUGAUCUAAUUUAUUAGAAAGGAAAAUAUAUUCGACAUUAUAUCACUUCAGUUUAGUUAUGAGGGUAUAAGCACCUAAUUAAGUCAUUUUAACAUUUUUAGGAAACUCUAUUUUUUUCUUAGUGGGAAUAAAGAAUGUUUGUGCAUAAAAACAUGUAACAUUUUGAUUAUGAAUCACACUUUAUCAGCAAAGAUAAUCUUAUAAUUAUUUACCUAAUGUUUUUAUUUACGAAAGGAUGAUCUACAAUUCUUUUUAAUUUCAUAUUUAGAAAUCUAUGUAUAAAAUGAUUAUAGCAGCAUAAAUCAAUUAAUUUACUAAAUUAUGUGAAUUGUUUAAAAAUACUAUUUAAAAUUGUUUAACACAUAAUUAUGAAACUAACAAAAGCAUUCUUAUUUUAUUUGAUAUACAAUUAUUCAGUUAAAGAAAAUAUAAACGUCGCAGGGAUCUAAACGAUAUUAAAUAUGGAAAUCAAAGGGUAGCUAACAAAAAAAAUAGAUCUCGUCUUCUACCUUCAGCACGUGGCCACGGUACAUGGAGCGGAUCGACGGUUUUAGCGGUGCGGACGAGCUAGGCGCAAGGACGCAUUUUCCUGGCGAUGAUGACGGUGUUCGGUGUGGCGAUGGCACGGCGGCAGCAGCAGGCGCAGAGAAGAACGUGUAGGAAUGCGACGAGGCUCUUCGGCGGGGAGCACCGGCGACGUCAAGCGACGCAGCAGCAAUCACGGCGACGACGGCGAGCGGUGGUGCUGCUGCGCGUGUGGGCAGGGGUUCUUGAUGUGGGACGGGGCUCCGAUGCAUAUGUCUAGGCACAGGGAGAAACUAUCGGCGAGGAGACAAAGACAUGGCGUCGGUAUGGCACGAGCAGCAGAAAACGACGCAGGACAGUGGAGCGGCAGUAUAGGGCAGUCGACGAGCGCGAGCAGAGAAACAAUUGGACGACGGCGCAACAGCAUGGCACGAGAGCGAGUGUGGCGCAUGAGAACGAGCGAGCAGGAGCAAGGACGAAGGGCUCGGUGUGAACUAUGGCUGUGAAUUUAUAGGCCGUGUGGGGAGAGCAAGCUAGGGAAGGGGAAGAGCAAGGCCAGCAGCUGGCGUCACCAUUAAUGGCGCAGGGAGAAAAACAGUUGCGAGUGGAGAGAAGAUACACUGAUGGCGGGGAGAAGGGUCAGACGGCUGCCCCAUGAUAUGAUGGCUCAGGCGUGGGGAGAUGAAGGCGAGGCGACGUUCGUGCUUGAAACGGUCGACGGUCGACAUCACCAUUGAUGGCGUAGUGAGAAAAACGCCAGCGCUAAUGGAGGGAAGGAGAGGGGUCGCGACGGUUUACAGUUGGCAGCAGAGUGGUGCGUACGUUCCUAGCAGCACGAACUGGAAACAGAAGACAAAUUAGGGAGGAGAUUAGAGGACUGGUGGGUCCCACAUGUAAGGGAGAGAAGAGACAAGGGAGAGUGGGAUCACGUGGGGAGGGGCUAGAGAUGGCCAAACGGGCCGCCCGGCCCGGCCCGGCCCGGGCCCGGUGAAGCCCGGCCAAAAACCGGGCCGGGCCUGCUGUGCCAUCGUGCUCAAGUUUCUGUCCAAGCCCGGCCCGCAGCGGGCCUAAACGGGCCGGGCCGGCCCGUUUAGCACGAAAAAAACGGGCCGAAAAGCGGGCUAAGCGGGCCGGUAAGCACGUUUUAGUGUAAAAAAACCGGGCUUAACGGGCUUAGAGGUAAACGGGCCGUGCCGGGCUAGCCCGCCGUGCCUAGUUUCUUGUCCAAGCCCGCCCGCUUAUUCUACCGUGCUGGGUUCGGACCGGGCCCAAAAAGCGGGCUUCGUGCCGGGCUCACGGGCCUCGUGCUUUUUGGCCAUCUAUAGGAGGGGCUGAGAAAGCUGGCUGGGCUACUUGGCCGAGUGGGUAGAUAGACAAGUUCGUUGGCUUUGUUUUCUUCAUUUCUUUUUUUUAAAUACACAACGUGUCAUGUUAUAUAUAUUUCGGAAAAUCCAGAAAAAAAUUUAUAUUAUAAUUAGCACGAUAAAAACUUAUUUACAGAAAAAUAAUCAUUUAAGAAAAUUUAUAUUAUUUAAAUAAAAGAGACUUUAUAUAAGAGAAUAAAAUCAAAUAAAAUGAAAUUUGCAAAUACCUACAAACAAAAAUUAUUAAUCAUAUCAAAAUACAUAUUUUUCAAUAUUAUUUCUAACAAACCAUUAUUUCACAAAAUGGGGUUUUUGUAUCACAAAAUUUGAACCCAAAGAUUGGUUCUACAAAUCAGUCAAACAAAUUGUGUGCAUCGACAUGAAUGCAUCAAACAACUAAACUUUUACUAAUAAAAAUGUUCUGUUUAUUUAUACUACCAUUUCAUUAUUUGAAAACAUAAAUAUUUUCCUUUUUACUAAAAAUUAAUCAUAUAAACUAAGUUAUUUUCAAUUGACAGAUUUAGGGUGUUACAAAUCUACCCCCUUAAAAAUAAUCUCGUCCUCGAGAUUAAUAAAGGCUAGCACGAAAGCAAAGGAGAUACAUGGUUAUUUGUAGGUUCUUAGUUCUCAUUGAACUCCUCCAAACUUAAGGAACUUCCUUACUUCUUUUCUCCAUAAUGUAUACUAAUCAAGCGACCAUCAUCAUCAUACUUAUAAAUGGUGGGUCUUCUGAACUAUUGCUUAGGUCUUGCUUCUCAAUCUUCUUCUCUAGUUGGUCUAGACACUUCUUGGAGCAUUGGUGAAUAAUAUGUCCUUCAUUUUUGCAGUAAUAGCAAGAUUCUCUUGCUUUGGGUUCUUUGGGAGACAACUUCAUUUGAUAGACGACAGCUGAUGGCUGAUUGGAUGCCUAUAUCUUAAAAGCCAAAUUUGAUUCUCUUGAUUGUGUAUCCAUGAGUUUCAAAGCUUUUGCUUGCGGUUGAAGUGGAUUAAUCAUAUAUCCAAACAUUCUUUUGUUCCUUUUGCUGUUCCUCAUUCCAAGAUCUGACAUUUGCAUGGGUAUGGAAGGAUGGAAGGGACGAAGGGGUUGAGCAAAGACAGAUUGUAGAGAGCAGAAAACCCCAUCUAUCUAAGGUUUUACCUAGAUAACUGAUGUCAUUGUGGACAAAAGUCACACAAUACACCAACAAUCAUUUCAAAGAAGCAAAUCAAACAUGAACACAAAGGACAAUGAAUUCAAGCAUACCAUCACAACACAAUCCAAUUCUACUCAUUCAACCAAAACAAAAGGUGAGACAAGGUUUGGAAUAAGAAAGAUAUUAUAAAGUCAAGGAGUCAGGUAAGAAUUAUCAAGGAGUUAGACAAGACCAAAACAUUAUUGUUAAUGACCAAUAAUGAAAUAAGAUAACCACUAACUGGUGAAGCGAGGAUAAAUUAUACAACCAAGGAUAUGAGAAAGUUUUUUUUAAGGAUACAAAAUACAAGGGCAUUAUCAAGUAGAGAGACAAAGGGUUCAAUAUCUCGAGGUAGAUAUCGUCCAAGGAUGACAAUACAAUGGCAAGAAAACAAAACUAUAAGAAUUCAAUAGGGAGAAAGCAUUAUCAAGGAGAAAAGUAGAGAGGCAAAAGUUUAAUAUAUCAAGGUAGAUAUUGCCUAAGGAUGGCAAUACAAUGACAAGGAAACAAAAGUAUAAGAAGUCAAGGGUUUUAUAGCGAUAUUAUGGAUUAGAAAACCACUAUAAUAUAAUAUAACAUCGUCCUUACCGAUCUAGUCUAAAAACUUAAUAACAUAAAACUAUCCUAUCAACCUAAUCAAGAAGUCAAAUAAUAGAUCCAGGGGAUCCAUAACAAAACUUCUUGCGGAGUGGGGAUAAGACAGAGAAUAGGGCAUCGUCAAUAGCUUCGAAAAGGUUUCUUCUCGCAAACUUCGCUUCAAGUUUCGAAAUCCUAGCUUGAUCAUCUUGCAAUGCUUCUCAUUAGAAUCUUCUGAUAGACGAAGAAUUAGACAAGAAGGGUUGAAGAUAAAAGAGACGAGUUUUGAUAUAAAGUAAAUUUUUAUGGAGGACAAUAUAUCAAGCUUUUGAAAGACUGACUGGGCUUUCCAUUUCUAACUAAUCUACCGACCUACGGUCACAUUGCUUUGAUACCACUUCUGUCACACCCAUUUCUGAGGGGCAGAGCCGGGCGCAUAGCAUAUGUGUGCCAGGAUCUAUUUUCACACAUAUGUUGACGUCACAAGUGUAAUAUAUCAAAAGAACAAUGCAUAAAAAGCGUAAAUAACGAUUACAUUAACAUAUUACACUUCGAAUAGACAUAAUGUCUUAACCUUUAUUCAUCAAAGUACAGCGAAACAAGGAUAUCCAUCCACAGGAAGAUGACCGGGGGUAUCACUAGACUAGCAUCCAUGGAGCUCAGCAUCAUAACUUCAUCUGCAAACUUUUGAUCAAAAUUAAGCAAGGGUGAGCUCACUUAUGGUCGGGGCUCAGCAAGUGGGGGAAAAACUAAUGCAAGGUAACAAGGUGAGGCUGAGGUUGAGCAGUAAGCAUUUUAGUUGGUCAACAUUUUAUUAACAACACAUGUCUUAAUAAUAAGUGUGAAUCACAAGUAUUCCCAUUAAGCAAAUGUAUAAGAGUAUAUCAAAAACACUUAAGUGAAACCACUUAAGCAAAACCAUUGGUAGAUCAUCGGAUCUCGAUUUAUUUCCAUCUUCAAGUUCAAUUAUCAUGUGAGGAGUCCAGGCUGCUCAUAACCGUGAGCACGGCUGAUAUAUCAGUUUUACACUCUGCAGAGGUGGUACAACUUUACCCACAAGUCGUGUAUCCCCUCUAGCCUGGGUCGGCCAAAACCCGUAAACACUUCCGAGGUGAGUGGCUAGGGAUCCACUAUGAGGCUUUCACAAAAUACACUUAAAACGAAGCAACCCGCUAAGGUUUCUAAAGACGAUGGUGGUGGCCCCCUGGGUGAGGUACCUUAGCCAAGAAUACGUCCCCAUGUUAACGUGGGCUGCCAACACCUACCGCUCCCCCUCUUGCCCAUAUUUCAGGUAAGGUUGCCAGGCACUAAGCAUAUAAAGCUAAUUACCAAAGCCAGAGUCAUGAUAGCACUCGUGGUUGCACUGUUUUUCCCAGGUGGUCACUCCAUGUUCCAAUUAAUAUGCAAUAAUCUUGUUUAACCAUCGGGUUAACAACAAUAAUGUAAACUUACCAUUUUGGAACAUUAAUAUCAUAAGCGGGAGUGAUUGCAUAAAGUUAAGUUGUAGCAAUAGCAUAGCUACGAAGGUAAAGUAUAAUUCCCAGGUUUGAUCAAGGAAUAAGGUUGGAAAGGUUAUCUAAAUAGGUAACCCGUCAAAUUAUGCAUAUAUAUCCAAAAGAAUAAACUUUAUUAAAUGUAUUGUUUGGGAUCAAACAGAGUAUGCAGAGGGAGAAAUCCACUUGCCUUGCUUAUUGAAAACUUGAGGUUCUUCCAC